UCAGGAUGAACGCUAGCGGCAGGCUUAACACAUGCAAGUCGAGGGGCAGCGCGGGGCGGCAACGUCCUGGCGGCGACCGGCGGAAGGGUGCGUAACGCGUGAGCGACAUGCCCGUUGCCCGGGGACAACCGGUGGAAACGCCGACUAAUCCCCGAUGGGACGGAGGCCCUCAUGGGUCUCUGUUGAAAGUUACGGCGGCGACGGAUUGGCUCGCGUCCGAUUAGCUUGUUGGCGGGGUAACGGCCCACCAAGGCUACGAUCGGUAGGGGUUCUGAGAGGAAGGUCCCCCACAAUGGAACUGAGACACGGUCCAUACUCCUACGGGAGGCAGCAGUGAGGAAUAUUGGUCAAUGGGCGGAAGCCUGAACCAGCCAUGCCGCGUGCGGGAAGGAGGCCCUAUGGGCUGUGAACCGCUUUUGCCUGGGGGCAAUAAGGGCGUCGCGCACGUCCGAUGAGAGUACCAGGGGAAUAAGCAUCGGCUAACUCCGUGCCAGCAGCCGCGGUAAUACGGGGGAUGCGAGCGUUAUCCGGAUUCAUUGGGUUUAAAGGGUGCGUAGGCUGUGCGUCAAGUCAGGGGUGAAAUUCCGGGGCUCAACUCCGGGGCUGCCCUUGAUACUGUCGCGCUGGAGUGCGGAUGCCGCCGGAGGAAUGAGUGGUGUAGCGGUGAAAUGCUUAGAUAUCACUCAGAACACCGAUUGCGAAGGCAUCUGGCGAAUCCGUAACUGACGCUGAGGCACGAAAGCGUGGGGAUAGAACAGGAUUAGAUACCCUGGUAUUCCACGCCGUAAACGAUGAUGGCUAACCGCCGGCGACAUACUGUCGGUGGCCAAGCGAAAGCGAUAAGCCAUCCACCUGGGGAGUACGUCGGCAACGAUGCAACUCAAAUGAAUUGACGG
rnacentral:rRNA from 1 species